rnacentral:rRNA from 1 species
UAGGGAAUCUUCCACAAUGGGCGAAAGCCUGAUGGAGCGACGCCGCGUGCAGGAUGACGGUCUUCGGAUUGUAAACUGCUUUUAUGUGGGAAGAUUAUGACGGUACCACAUGAAUAAGAGUUGGCUAACUCCGUGCCAGCAGCCGCGGUAAUACGGAGAACUCAAGCGUUACCCGGAAUCACUGGGCGUAAAGCGUUGCGUAGGCGGACUCGCAAGUUGGAUCUUAAAGGCCAAGGCUCAACCUUGGAACUGGGUACAAUACUACGAGACUAGAGGAUGGUAGAGGUCAGUGGAAUUGCUGGUGUAGGAGUGAAAUCCGUAGAUAUCAGCAGGAACACCAAUGGCGAAGGCAGCUGACUGGGCCAUUCCUGACGCUGAGGCACGAAAGCGUAGGGAGCGAACCG